rnacentral:rRNA from 1 species
AGCCUCGGUUAACUUUCCUUAGAGAAAGGAUGGCGUCUGGAGAAGCCGCUAUUCUGCAGACCCGGUAACUAGGCCAAGGUUCGAAUUUGGCUAAAACUUUAGCGGUUUGGGUUCCGGAAAGUCCGGGUCACCUCGAUUUGCGGGGGUACGGCAAACUAGGGUGAGUAGGGGAGACUGGAAUUCCUGGUUAGCGUGGAAAUGCGCAGAUUUCAGGAGGAACACCGAUGGCGAAGGCAGGUCUCUGGCAUUACUGACGCUGAGGAGCGAAAGCAUGGGGAGCGAACAGGAUUAGAUACCUGGUAGUCAUGCCGUAAACGUUGGGCACUAGGUGUGGGGGACAUUCCACGUUUUCGCGCCGUAGCUAACGCAUUAAGUGCCCCGCCUGGGGAGUACGGCCGCAAGGCUAAAACUCAAAGGAAUUGACGGGGGCCCGCACAAGCGGCGGAGCAUGCGGAUUAAUUCGAUGCAACGCGAAGAACCUUACCAAGGCUUGACAUGUGCCAGACCGCUCCAGAGAUGGGGUUUCCCUUCGGGGCUGGUUCACAGGUGGUGCAUGGUUGUCGUCAGCUCGUGUCGUGAGAUGUUGGGUUAAGUCCCGCAACGAGCGCAACCCUCGUUCCAUGUUGCCAGCACGUAGUGGUGGGGACUCAUGGGAGACUGCCGGGGUCAACUCGGAGGAAGGUGGGGAUGACGUCAAAUCAUCAUGCCCCUUAUGUCUUGGGCUUCACGCAUGCUACAAUGGCCGGUACAAUGGGUUGCGAUACUGUGAGGUGGAGCUAAUCCCUAAAAGCCGGUCUCAGUUCGGAUUGGGGUCUGCAACUCGACCCCAUGAAGUCGGAGUCGCUAGUAAGACGCAGAUCUAUGCAACGCUGCGGGAAUCUUAACUUACUUUAAAAAAA